rnacentral:hammerhead_ribozyme from 1 species
AUCCAGCUGACGAGUCUUAAAUAAGAUGAAAAAGCUCGUCCUGGAU